AGUGGUUCCAAGGAAGAAGAGUGGUGAGGGCUAGGCAAUAGGUGUUAAGUGACUUUCCCAGGAUCAUAUAGCUGGGAAGUGUCUGAGGUCAGAUUUGAACCCAGGACCUCCCAUCUCUGGGCCUGACUCUCAAUCCACUGAGCUACCUUGAUGCCCCCACAAUAUAUUAUUGUUAACUAUCUAUGGAAGAAAUUAUGUACUAGUAGGCACCAUACUCAAGCCACUAGCCAAAAGUUUCUUUUCUUUUUCUUCCUUCCUUCUUUCCUUCCUUCCUUCCUUCCUUCCUUCCUUCCUUCCUUCCUUCCUUCCUUCCUUCCUUCCUUCCUUCCUUCCUUUCCUUCUUUCUUUCUUUCUUUCUUUCUUUCUUUCUUUCUUUCUUUCUUUCUUUCUUUCUUUCUUUCUUUCUUUCUUUCUUUCUUUCUUUCUCUUCCUUACCUUCUCUCUUAGAAUCAAUACUGUGUACUGAUUUCAAGGCAGAAGAGCAGCAAGGGUUAGGCAAUGAAGGUUACAUGACUUGCCCAGAGUCACACAGUUAGAAAGUGUCUGAGGCCAAACAGGAUCUCCUGUUGCUCAAUCCACUGAGCCACCUAGGUGCCCCAUGAUCUGUUUUCCUUCAGAUCAUCUAAGACCUUGAUGAUAUCUUAAAGUAACUUCUCACAGGUACACCAUCAUUGGUACUAAGCAGCAGCCUGGACAUAUUUUCUACACCUAUCUGUUGCUUUUUGAAUCAUGGGCAUCUUUGAUUCAUUUGGUCAUAGAAACCCAUGAAAAAGAUUUUUUUUUAAAUUAACAAAGAUGCAAUAUGCUAACAAAGAGUCAAUAUGCUAAAUAGUUCCCUUAGGUCAUUGGUAUGCUUCUAUCUAUAGGAUAAAGUCGUUUUAAGAAGCAAACUGGUAUAAUGGAUGGGACAGUGAAUUUGACACCAGGACGAUCUGGGUUCCAUUGAUCACAAUAUUUCUGUGCUUCAAUUUUCUCAUUUGUAAAAUGAAUUUAAGGGCCACUAAGGUUCCUUCUCCCUCUAAAUCUAUGAUCCUAUGAAACUGCCAGGGGUACUAUGCUGGUGCUAGAUUUGGUUCAUCUAGAUCCACUCCAAGGCUAGGUUUGCCUCCAUCAGGCUUGCCACUCUGCAACCAGAAAAUCUGGCUGGAAGAAACCCUGGUCUGUCAUUCAGAAGCCUUUAUCUAGAUUCACUGAUUGUCCCAGAAUCAUCUGUCUAGUCCCUGGCUCAAGUUACCUUUUGGUUAGAUUGAAUUCUUUGGAAAGAAUAAGCUAAGUGCUCCCAUAAUCACAUAACAUGUCCUGCUUAGUCUCAGACAUCAGAACUAGAAGCAAUGGAGGGAAAGUUGUCAAGGACAAAUCUGAGCUCAGUAUAGAAAAAACUAGCUAGUUCUCCUGACUGGCUUCUUUUUUUAAAUAAUAUUUUAUUUCUCUUCAAUUAUAUGUAAAG
rnacentral:lncRNA from 1 species